rnacentral:rRNA from 1 species
CCUACGGGAGGCAGCAGUGGGGAAUCUUGCGCAAUGGGCGAAAGCCUGACGCAGCAACGCCGCGUGCGGGAUGAAGGCCCUCGGGUUGUAAACCGCUUUCAGCAGGGACGAAAAUGACGGUACCUGCAGAAGAAGCCCCGGCUAACUACGUGCCAGCAGCCGCGGUAAUACGUAGGGGGCAAGCGUUGUCCGGAUUUAUUGGGCGUAAAGAGCUCGUAGGCGGUUCCGUAAGUCGAGUGUGAAAAAUCUGGGCUCAACCCAGUGGAGCACUCGAUACUGCGGUGACUAGAGUACGGUAGAGGAGUGUGGAAUUCCUGGUGUAGCGGUGAAAUGCGCAGAUAUCAGGAGGAACACCAACGGCGAAGGCAGCACUCUGGGCCGGUACUGACGCUGAGGAGCGAAAGCGUGGGGAGCAAACAGGAUUAGAUACCCUGGUAGUCCACGCCGUAAACGUUGGGCACUAGGUGUGGGAGGGAAUCAACCCCUUCCGUGCCGUAGCUAACGCAUUAAGUGCCCCGCCUGGGGGAGGUACGGCGCGAGACGUAAACUAAAUAGAGUAGACGCGUGAGAGUUGCGAGACGACGACGAGGAGAG